GACGAACGCUGGCGGCGUGCUUAACACAUGCAAGUCGAACGGUGAAAGCGGAGCUUGCUCCGCUGGAUCAGUGGCGAACGGGUGAGUAACACGUGGGCAACCUGCCCCUGACUUCGGGAUAACUCCUCGAAAGAGGUGCUAAUACCGGAUACGAAUCCUGCAGGCAUCUGCGGGAUUGGAAAGUUUUUCGGUCAGGGAUGGGCCCGCGGCCUAUCAGCUUGUUGGUGAGGUAGUGGCUCACCAAGGCGACGACGGGUAGCCGGCCUGAGGGGGCGACCGGCCACACUGGGACGGAGAGACGGCCCAGACUCCUAAGGGGGGCAGCAGUGGGGAAUAUUGCGCAAUGGGCGAAAGCCUGACGCAGCAACGCCGCGUGAGGGAUGACGGCCUUCGGGUUGUAAACCUCUUUCAGCAGGGAAGAAGCGAAAGUGACGGUACCUGCAGAAGAAGCACCGGCUAACUACGUGCCAGCCGCCGCAGUAA
rnacentral:rRNA from 1 species